rnacentral:misc_RNA from 1 species
UAGCGAGACAUAAGUGACUUGUGGCAUGAAUAAUAAGGCACAUCAUAUACAUUUCAAAUCAGUUAUCAGCUUAACUUGCGGCAUGACAAGAUUAUUGUUGUUUCAUAAGAGGUUUGACAUGAACACGAAUAAGUUUAACAAUAAACCUCAAUUUUCAUGUCAUGUUAGCAUUGCGUUCAUGGUUGUGCCCAAAAUUAUCGUUCCUUCUUUGAAGUAAUCCUAGCGUUGGAA